GGCGAGUGAAGCGGCUACAGCUCAAAUUUGAAAUCUGGCCCUCCUCAGGGGUCCGAGUUGUAAUUUGCAGAGGAUGCUUUGGCGUUGGCGGCGUUCCAAGUUCCCUGGAACAGGACAUCGCAGAGGGUGAGAAUCCCGUACGCGGGCGCCUGCCUCCGCCGUGUAAAGCUCCUUCGACGAGUCGAGUUGUUUGGGAAUGCAGCUCUAAAUGGGAGGUAAAUUUCUCCUAAAGCUAAAUACCGGCCAGAGACCGAUAGCGCACAAGUAGAGUGAUCGAAAGAUGAAAAGUACUUUGGAAAGAGAGUCAAACAGCACGUGAAAUUGUUGAAAGGGAAGCGCUUGCCGCCAGACGUGCCCGCGGUUGCUCACCCAGGCUUCUUUGCCUGGGGCACUCUUCCGCGGGCAGGCCAGCAUCGGUUCGGGCGGUCGGACAAAGGCCUCUGUCAAGUACCACCCUUCGGGGUGGCCUUAUAGGGGAGGCGCAAUGCGAUCAGCCCGGACCGAGGUCCGCGCAUCUGCUAGGAUGCUGGCGUAAUGGCUGCAAGCGGCCCGUCUUGAAACACGGAUCGAGGAGUCUAACAUCUACGCGAGUGUUUGGGUGUCAAGCCCGGGCGCGCAAUGAAAGUGAAC
rnacentral:rRNA from 1 species